CCUACGGGUGGCUGCAGUGGGGAAUAUUGGACAAUGGGCGAAAGCCUGAUCCAGCCAUGCCGCGUGUGUGAAGAAGGCCUUCGGGUUGUAAAGCACUUUCAGUGGGGAAGAAAGCCUUGGGGCUAAUACCCUCGAGGAAGGACAUCACCCACAGAAGAAGCACCGGCUAACUCCGUGCCAGCAGCCGCGGUAAUACGGAGGGUGCGAGCGUUAAUCGGAAUUACUGGGCGUAAAGCGCGCGUAGGCGGUCUGAUAAGCCGGUUGUGAAAGCCCCGGGCUCAACCUGGGAACGGCAUCCGGAACUGUCAGGCUAGAGUGCAGGAGAGGAAGGUAGAAUUCCCGGUGUAGCGGUGAAAUGCGUAGAGAUCGGGAGGAAUACCAGUGGCGAAGGCGGCCUUCUGGACUGACACUGACGCUGAGGUGCAAAAGCGUGGGUAGCAAACAGGAUUAGAUACCCCAGUAGUC
rnacentral:rRNA from 1 species